ACAGCCAUAACCCACUGAAAUCCCAGUUCCCGUAUGAUCACUUAAGUUAAGCAACAUUGAGACUGGGCACUAACUAGAUGGGUGACAGCUUGAGAAUACCAGGUGCUGUAAG